AUGAAUGUAUUUGUGACAUCCCAGGGACAUCACCAGAGCGAUGACGCUGCCAUCCCGGUUCCCAUGGAAACCAAACUGGAACAGAAGGAACAAAAGGCUGUUGAAGGUCACCAGUGCAAAGGAGACACAAGAAGAAAAACCUUCAGGAGUAGGGGGAAACUCUUGAGGAGGUGGACUGGAAAGUCACUUUGGAGGCAAUCUGUCAGCCACUGUUCACAAUUUCUCUUUGGCUCCCACAGCUGGGAACAAAUCAUCUGA
rnacentral:lncRNA from 1 species